rnacentral:rRNA from 1 species
CCUACGGGUGGCUGCAGUGGGGAAUUUUGGACAAUGGGGGCAACCCUGAUCCAGCCAUGCCGCGUGCGGGAAGAAGGCCUUCGGGUUGUAAACCGCUUUUAGCCGGGAAGAAAAGGCGAGGGAUAACACCCUUCGUUCUUGACGGUACCGGCGGAAUAAGCACCGGCUAACUACGUGCCAGCAGCCGCGGUACUACGUAGGGUGCGAGCGUUAAUCGGGAUUACUGGGCGUAGAUCGUGCACAGGCGGUUGAAAGCCCCGGGCGCAACCGGGGAAUGGCAUUGGAUACUGGCGGGCUUGAGUGUGGCAGAGGGGGGUGGAAUUCCGCGUGUAGCAGUGAAAUGCGUAGAGAUGAGGAGGAACACCGAUGGCGAAGGCAGCCCCCUGGGCGGACACUGACGCUCAGGCACGAAAGCGUGGGGAGCAAACAGGAUUAGAUACCCCUGUAGUC